AGCGAACGCUGGCGGCAGGCCUAACACAUGCAAGUCGAACGGAUCCUUCGGGAUUAGUGGCGGACGGGUGAGUAACACGUGGGAACGUGCCCUUUGGUUCGGAACAACUCAGGGAAACUUGAGCUAAUACCGGAUGUGCCCUUCGGGGGAAAGAUUUAUCGCCAUUGGAGCGGCCCGCGACUGAUUAGCUAGUUGGUGAGGUAAAGGCUCACCAAGGCGACGAUCAGUAGCUGGUCUGAGAGGAUGAUCAGCCACAUUGGGACUGAGACACGGCCCAAACUCCUACGGGAGGCAGCAGUGGGGAAUCUUGCGCAAUGGGCGAAAGCCUGACGCAGCCAUGCCGCGUGAAUGAUGAAGGUCUUAGGAUUGUAAAAUUCUUUCACCGGGGACGAUAAUGACGGUACCCGGAGAAGAAGCCUCGGCUAACUUCGUGCCAGCAGCCGCGGUAACAC
rnacentral:rRNA from 1 species